rnacentral:rRNA from 1 species
AUGAGUUAUGCUUAUGGAGAUGAACUUGCUAUAGUUCCUUAUGUUAAACAUGAAAUUGUUGCUAUUGCACACACGCAUGAUAGUCCUAUUAUCUUUUUGAAUUCUCCCGACAACACUAUAUCAGAGAAGUUUGCGCUUAGUAAGGAUUAUAUUGAUGGGUUGCCUUUUACCAUUGCACAUGAUGAUUUUGAUGAAUGUAAUAUGCAUGUGUGUUCUGCUCCUACUUGCAAUUAUUAUGAGAGAGAAACUACAUCUCCACCUCUCUAUGUAUCCAAUAUGAUAAAAUUGCAAGAAACUGCUUAUACUGUGCAUUGA